GAGGUCUCCGAAGCCCGCAGCUCCACCAGAGCUGGCUGUUCCCAGUGUGAACACAGAAGCCUAGGAACCCCGCAAAGGAGCCAGCGAUGGUCGGUGCCUCUGUUCUCCCAGGUGCCUCUCCAGUGGACUCACUGUCACUUGCUUGGGAGAAAACUACAGAGCUUUAGAAGUCAGAUGGCAGUUGACCACUGGAACCUGAAAACUCAGAAGGCACAACUGCAGAUAAGGGGAGACCCUGUUGAAUCCGUAUCUUGGCAGCUGGGGAAACAGCUGAAAGAUUUCAAGGAGCUGAGGUCAUGGUUUGGAGGGACUUGAGCGGCACGCCCAGGACUGCAUUUUGUUGAGCCAUGUCUCAGGAAGUCACCCAGAAGAAUCCCAAGAGUCAACAAUGUCAUAAAACCAAAUCCCUUAAAUGGCAUUGCAAAUUAGGGACCUUCCCACAGCCUGUCCAUUGUUCUGGACAAGGAGAGAUGAGGUUUGUUAUGUGCUCUCAGGCCUAGUGAGACAAGUCUCCUGAUCUUUAAUGACAAUAAUGAAUUAAAUAAUGGCUCAGUAAUGAAUUGGGUUAUUUCCUAAGACUGGAGAUCAAGAUAAAUUAAAUACUCACUCUCUGGGGACCUGCAUUGAUAAAGGGCUAUUUAAGUGCCUUCACAGCAGUGGAAACAAGAUCUGAAUAAGACGUAGAGGACUUUGUUGUCUGGACUCUCUUUCUUCAUAGAUUGUAUAAUGAGCUGAAGCUGAUAAUUGGAAAAAAAACACAAGAAAAUGCAAGAUUGCCUGAAUGAUGAGGUGAGGCAAAUCACUAGGCAGAGGAAACCUUGCUCUCUAUUAGUGCAUUUUGUCUUGUUUACACCAAACAUUCAGAAACUGAAGUCAGAGACAUCUGUGUAAUUGAUUGCAGUGAUCCAAAUGAUCUCAAUGAAUAUAUCCUUAUGGGCAAGGAC
rnacentral:lncRNA from 1 species